UCCUUGAUGUGCCUAGAAUGUCACGGCUACCU
rnacentral:piRNA from 1 species